UCUGUUUAAACAGCAUUCAACGACAGCCUGUGCUCACAACUGAAAUUCUUUUUGUUGGCAAGGUACAUGUCAUGGGCCUCACACCUGGUAUUAUUUUAACUGCCUCCCUGACACAUGGAGGCACUCACAAACACUAGAACCAAACCUGCACACACCAUUACUCCCAGAUACACAGCCUUCAAGAGCCAUGGCACCAAAGGAGAAGACCAGAUUCCACCAAGUGCUUUGGGCAGAUUCCAGAGUGCAGCCCCACCAGGAAGAGAAAUGGCAGGACCUUUAUACUCAGCAAAACCAAAACCAAUUUCCUCCUCAGUUUUUAAGUCUGCCUGUGUGCAAGUCUACCUUUACGUGCAGUAGGGAGCUUCAUGGAUGUUCAGACAACUUGAGACAAAAGAAAAGCAUCUUAAAAGUGCCAGAGGGUCUCACCAGCGACUAUUGAGGUAUCCCCAUGCAAAAGACACCACUGCCCUCUUUUCACACUUGAAUUUUCACAGGCUGAAUUGCCAGACAGAACUGGGUAAGCUGUAACAUGAUUGAUCAUGAUUUCUGGGAACACUGGACCAGAGAGAUACCAUCCAUUAAGAAGAUCUGUGCUCAGAGCCAGACAACUCCAUUUUAUUUUAUAUUGACAUCCCACAGGAACAAAGUGCAAAGCCCUGGAAAGGGAAAGAGGUUUGUUUCUCUGAGUCACUCUUCACUUGGGCAGAACUGCUUUUAACACACUUACCCAUCCUAGAUCUAAAGAAAUCACUCAACAAAACCAGGGAGAACAUACGAUGCACUUAGCAGCAGCAAUUUAAAAAUGGUUACCUGAGUUUGGACAACCUUGAGAUGGACAUCUAUGUAAGAUCACAAAGUUUUUUGUUUUUAAAUGUAUUUUGUAUGCGUUUGUGCAUUCGUUAACAGAUGCACUGUGGAACUCAGAGGACAAUCUGUAGGAGUCAAGUCUCUUCUUGUCUGACUCAAGUCAUCAGGUCAUCAGGUGUUGAACUAUCUCCAUAGCUCAUGAACAGUUUUUUACACAGAUGAGAAAUUUCACUCUCAAAAGUGUUGUCCCUUAUACUCAAAAUCCAAUUAUUCUAAAAACAAAACAUGAGAUCAAUAUAUCAAUAAAUAUCAUGCUUUA